rnacentral:rRNA from 1 species
AACGUAGGGGGCGAGCGUUAUCCGGAGUUACUGGGCGUAAAGGGUGUGUAGGCGGUGCUAUAAGUGGGGUGUGAAACACUCAGGCUAAACCUGGGAGGUGCGCCUCAGACUGUAGGACUAGAGUGGGAUAGAGGGGCGUGGAAUUCCGGGUGGAGCGGUGAAAUGUGUAGAGAUCCGAAGGAACACCAGAGGCGCAAGCGGCGCCCUGGGUCCCAACUGACGCUGAAACACGAAAGCUUGGGGAGCGAACGGG